GACGAACGCUGGCGGCGUGCUUAACACAUGCAAGUCGAACGGUGACCUCGGAGCUUGCUCCGGGUGAUCAGUGGCAAACGGGUGAGUAACACGUGACCAACCUGCCCCUUGCUCUGGGAUAACCCCGGGAAACCGGAGCUAAUACCGGAUACAAGACCGUGCGGCAUCACGCGGUCUGGAAAGUUUUUCGGCAAGGGAUGGGGUCGCGGCCUAUCAGCUUGUUGGUGGGGUAAUGGCCCACCAAGGCAACAACGGGUAGCCGGCCUGAGAGGGCGACCGGCCACACUGGGACUGAAACACGGCCCAAACUCCUACGGGAGGCAGCAGUGGGGAAUAUUGCGCAAUGGGCGAAAGCCUGACGCACCGACCCCGCGUGAGGGAUGACGGCCUUCGGGUUGUAAACCUCUUUCAGCAGGGAAAAAGCGAAAGUGACGGUACCUGCAAAAAAAGCACCGGCUAACUACGUG
rnacentral:rRNA from 1 species